GAAUAAGAAGCGAAUUAUUGCAAUCGGUUUCGACCCGAUUUUUGGUUUUGUAACCCUUAUUCU
rnacentral:tRNA from 1 species